CAUCAAAAAGACCAACACGGGUGUUUAAGAAUAAUGUGUUAGAGACCUUGUAGAUGAAAGAGAAAAUAAGUUUGUGUGUGGUCAGAGAGAGAGAGGGAGAGAGAGAGAGAGAGAGAGAGACGAAGCUGGUUCUGGAAGUUGGGGGACCUCCUUGUUCUCCCUUUGGAAUCUGGAAUCUCACAAAAGCCUGUUUGGGGGAAGGUCAUUGGUAUCUAACAUAUUGCUCAGGGAAACCAUGAGGUUCUAUAGCCUUAACACAUGGAGGAAGAACCCAGUCUGAUGUUUUAGGUAGGCGAUGGGCCACCAGAACCAGCAGCCCCCCCUUACUUCUUUCAAACACACAGCGCGGCUCUGUAUUUUCCUCCGGGGCUCCCCGCGCCAGGUGAAUUUCUCCAUAGCGGCACCAGAGGGCGCCCGAACUGAGGGAAAGGCCUCGGGACGCCAAGAGGACCCAAGCAGGUGCUACCACGCCGGCGACCCAGACCUCCCUGGCUCCGGCUCCUACCUUCUACUCCUGAAAUCCGUGGGCAACUUGUCUUCGUGCUGAGAGUGUAGGAAGGCCCGCUGUCCCGGGAGAAAGGCACCUGGCGUCCACACCCAAUCCCAUCGUCCGCCCCUGAGACCACCCGUGGGUGCCCUGCACCCCGGCUGCUGAAGUUUGCGGGCAGGUCUGCCUUGUCUCCCACUCAGCCGCCCCUCUCAUCAGCAGCCCCACACCCUAAAAAUCAAGGGCCCAAAGCAAACAGUCAGGUCUUUUCUGUAGCGAUUAUCCGAUUCAAGAAGGGCUGUGUUUCUCUCCAAUUGUAUGCUUAAAUCUGGAAUCAAGAUGGGAGCACAUUGUCCCACCGGCUGUUUCCUAAGUAACAAGUCAGUGUUCUGUGUUUCAUAGACGGCAGACCUCUGAUUUCACACACUGAAGCGUGGAAAAGCCCCAUGUACUGGAGCCAGAGAACCUUGAAGGAAAAACAGAACUGCGUUCCUCAGCUCUAUCCUUUCUGCUCAUUUCCUGUCACCCAAGAUGUGAUUUUUCAGUGGUGGUCUCCAUUUUAAUUCACAUAUGGCUGCUAGAUCAAGGGACUGACGUUAUCUAGAAAUCUGUGAAGUAAAAAACAUCCAAGACCCAUUCCCUGGGGGCAGAAAAAGGAGGGUAGAAAAAAAGGGAGAAGAUCAGUCCCAGCCCAGCAAUAGAAGUACGCACAAAACAGAAGAGAACACGAAGGGACUUCGGUUUCCUUUUUAUCUCAAUACACACGGGCUAGUGAAAUGACAUCUCUGUGUCCAUUGGGAAUCUCCAUGCAGGUCACCUCCUCUCUGAAGCCCACCGGGCAGUCUGCCAUGCCUCCUUCAGGGCUCCAGCACUGAUGUCACUUCCAUUACAUCACCUGUCAACCUGCUCUGGUGCUACCUGUCCAUCCUCACUGAUGGACUGUGAAUUGAGGCAGAAGUUGUGUCUUAUUUAUCACCAUAAUUGAGAACUGAGUGUUCUUUUCGAAUUUUAGCUUGCGUGAAUUCUAUUGAUUGACUUAUUAAGUGAAUAAAUGUCACCCUGACUCCAGGAGCUUGGCCCCGGAAGUUCAUUCAUGUCGGUUCAGGAGAGAGUAUAGACUAGAAAUGGAAGCACGGUUUGCCUAAUAGGAGUGUUUUAUUUUGUAGGAGCAGCAUGGAGAACCUGU